AGAUUGAACGCUGGCGGCAGGCCUAACACAUGCAAGUCGAGCGGUAGAGAGGUGCUUGCACCUCUUGAGAGCGGCGGACGGGUGAGUAAUGCCUAGGAAUCUGCCUAGUGGUGGGGGAUAACGUUCGGAAACGGACGCUAAUACCGCAUACGUCCUACGGGAGAAAGCGGGGGACCUUCGGGCCUCGCGCCAUUAGAUGAGCCUAGGUCGGAUUAGCUAGUUGGUGAGGUAAUGGCUCACCAAGGCGACGAUCCGUAACUGGUCUGAGAGGAUGAUCAGUCACACUGGAACUGAGACACGGUCCAGACUCCUACGGGAGGCAGCAGUGGGGAAUAUUGGACAAUGGG
rnacentral:rRNA from 1 species